GACGAACGCUGGCGGCGUGCUUAACACAUGCAAGUCGAACGGAAAGGCCCUGCUUUUGUGGGGUGCUCGAGUGGCGAACGGGUGAGUAACACGUGAGUAACCUGCCCUUGACUUUGGGAUAACUUCAGGAAACUGGGGCUAAUACCGGAUAGGAGCUCCUGCUGCAUGGUGGGGGUUGGAAAGUUUCGGCGGUUGGGGAUGGACUCGCGGCUUAUCAGCUUGUUGGUGGGGUAGUGGCUUACCAAGGCUUUGACGGGUAGCCGGCCUGAGAGGGUGACCGGCCACAUUGGGACUGAGAUACGGCCCAGACGCCUACGGGAGGCAGCAGUGGGGAAUAUUGCACAAUGGCCGGAAGCCUGAUGCAGCAACGCCGCGUGCGGGAUGACGGCCUUCGGGUUGUAAACCGCUUUCGCCUGUGACGAAGCGUGAGUGACGGUAAUGGGUAAAGAAGCACCGGCUAACUACGUG
rnacentral:rRNA from 1 species